AGUGAACGCUGGCGGUAUGCCUAAUACAUGCAAGUCGAGCGGCAACACAGUGAGCGUUCGCUUUUACGGGUGGCGAGUGGCGGGCGGGUGAGGUGUAGAUCGGCAUCUUAUUUUUCGUGGGUGAUAACGUGGAGACGGUUCUGAUAAUGGCGAAUAUGUCUAACGGCUGGAUGCAGGGGAUAUUGAGGCUUUUUGUGAUACCAUGAGCUGGUGUCGUAUUGGAUUGUUUAGGGGGUAGAGGCCCACCAAGGCUACGCUACGUAGCUUGACUGAGCGGAUGAUCGGCCACACUGGAUCUGAGACACGGUCCAGACUCCUACGGGAGGCAGCAGUGGGGAAUAUUGGACAAUGGGCGCAAGCCUGAUCCAGCCAAGCCGCGUGAGUGAAGAAGGUCUUCGGAUUGUAAAGCCCUUUUGUUCGGAAAGAAAAGCAGCGGGAUAAUACCCCCCUGUUCUGACGGUACCCAAAGAGUAAGCACCGGCUAACUUCGUG
rnacentral:rRNA from 1 species